rnacentral:lncRNA from 1 species
UAAAAUUAUAUAUUGUCAUGCUAUUUUAUAAUGUAUUGAGAAACUUCAACAGUCACAGACCAUCACUCUAUUUCCCUGCUAUCCCCGCUCGACCCAGCUACACUCUUAUUACUUGAAAGGAAUUGUGAAGCAAAAAGGGUUAGCUCAACUAGUCUAGUAAAGAAUAUUAUGACUUAAAUAAUGUGGAACAAUUUAUCCUUAGUCCUCAGCAGGGAAAAAUCUGAUAGAAUACAAUAGACAACAAGUUUUAGAUUAACAACUGCAGCGAAAACAACAAUCCAUUAGAAGAGUCAAGUAGAACAUAAUGUCUACUAUCUCCUCCAAAUUAAAAGUCCAUUAAUAUUUUAUCCCAAGACAAAGAGAACUUUCAUCACCUAUCUUUUCCUGAACCACCAAAGAUUAUAGUUAAAUUCACAAUUCAUGUUUAUAAUAAUGUAAAUCAACAGUUUGUCCUUGCCACAAAGUCUUAAUAGAACUUUCACUCAAUAUCCUUGCCCCAAAGGCUAAAGACAUUCAAAUGUAAUAACAAUGAUCAUACCAAUCAAUUGUCUAUCUUUGCACUACGGGCCAAAGAUAUUCAACUAUAAAACCAAUGGUCAUGAUUAUGCCAAUCAAUUGUCUGUCAGUGCACUACGGCCAAAAACAUUCAACUACAAAACUAAUGGUUAUGAUCCUGCAAAACAAUAGUCUAUCUUUGCAGUACAGGCCAAAGAUAUUUAUUUUUAUCAUCAGUGGUCAUGAUCAUGUCAUACACAUGUCCAUCUUUGCACUACGGGCCAAAGAUACACAACCGUAAAACCAAUAAUCAACAGUUCAUCUUUGCACUACGGGCCAAAUAUGUGACGCCCCCAAAAUAGGUCCAUUCCAUCCAACCCAUUCUGAGUCGCCAAAUAUAUGGUACAGAAACAACUACAACUUCAUUAAUACAAUUGUCGUGCAAAAUACGACAACACAUAAACUGUGAGUUUUAAUACAAAUAUUAUCUUCUAGACAAUAUCCACACUCAAAUAAGUCAUCAUUACAAUUAUUGAUACACUAUUUUACAAAAUAGUGAGGACUAUUAAAACAACUGUCUUGAACCAGU